CAGCCGCCACGGUAAUACGAAGGGGGCUAGCGUUGUUCGGAAUUACUGGGCGUAAAGCGCACGUAGGCUGACAUUUAAGUCAGGGGUGAAAUCCCGGGGCUCAACCUCGGAACUGCCUUUGAUACUGGGUGUCUUGAGUGUGGAAGAGGUAAGUGGAAUUGCGAGUGUAGAGGUGAAAUUCGUAGAUAUUCGCAGGAACACCAGUGGCGAAGGCGGCUUACUGGUCCACAACUGACGCUGAGGUGCGAAAGCGUGGGGAGCAAACAGGAUUAGAUACCCCCGUAGUCCCUGUCUCUUAUAA
rnacentral:rRNA from 1 species